UACGGGGGGGAGCAAGCGUUGUUCGGAUUUACUGGGCGUAAAGGGCGCGUAGGCGGUCGUGACAAGUCACUUGUGAAAUCUCCGGGCUUAACUCGGAACGGUCAAGUGAUACUGUCGGACUAGAGUACAGAAGGGGCAACUGGAAUUCUCGGUGUAGCGGUGAAAAUGCGUAGAUAUCGAGAGGAACACCUGCGGCGAAGGCGG
rnacentral:rRNA from 1 species